UACGGAGGGUGCAAACGUUGCUCGGAAUUAUUGGGCGUAAAGCGUACGUAGGCGGUCCAGCAAGUCGGGUGUGAAAGCCCUCGGCUUAACCGAGGAAGUGCAUUCGAAACUACAGGACUUGAAUACUGGAGAGGAUUGCGGAAUUCCCGGUGUAGAGGUGAAAUUCGUAGAUAUCGGGAGGAACACCAGUGGCGAAGGCGGCGAUCUGGGAAGAUACUGACGCUGAGGUGCGAAAGCGUGGGGAGCAAACAGG
rnacentral:rRNA from 1 species